GAUGCAUUUCAUACACGGUGAGGGGAAAGAAGCUGAUGCCCCCCCCCACACACACAUACCUGUCCGUACUCGUUGCCCACGUUUGUCACCCACGCUGCAGUGCCCGCAGCUUUGCCAGCCAGCUUGGAGGUCAUCUGGACGUGUGACAAAAGGCAGAAAGAAAAUAUUCCAUCUUCAGAAUGUUGCCGAAGAUAGACGUGACCCUGGCCUUGGUCGCCUCCAGCCUAGACAGGGCGUCCCUGACAAAGACGGAGAGGAGCCAGCCCACGGUGGGCACCGGGUGCAGGGGUGGGACAGUCACCGGCUUGACUGCUGCACCCGCUACGCCCAGCUUCUUCAGCACCCCGAGGCGUCUCACAGGCUCAGCACUUACUUGUAGGCGGCCAUCUUCUUCCCACAGGAACGACAUUCCAGGUACUCUGUGCCCAUAAAGUACCAGCCGUCCCUGUCCAGAACCCUGCGCACCGUCUUGUACAGUCCUGCGCCGGUCAGCUUUGUGUCACAGCUGGGGCACACAAGCCUGCACGCCCACAUCCUGUAGGGCAUCCACAGGAAGAACGGCCUCUGGAAGAAGGCGUGGGACGAUGCAGGGGUCUGGGUGUAGAGGGGCCGGGCUCCGGGAGGGUACCACCAGAGGCGAAGGUCGGUGGUGAGGACACGCUGGCCCCUGGCGUUCCUGGUGAACAGAGCCCGGCCCACCCAGUCCUGCUGCUCCUCCGGCAGAGUCUGCCUCCAGCUGUGAGGCAGCAACUUCACCACAGAAACAGACAAAAGGACAGCCCUCAGCUGCGGCUGCAGCUCUGGUCCUGGGCCGCACGGCGACGCCGCUGUCACCACUGGAAGACAGGUCCAGGUCAUCGACUGGCACAGGAGUGGAGGCUGAAGAUGGGACCUCUGCAAAAAUAACUAAAAAACAAACUUUACUAUCCCAGUUAAACUACUGACGGACAACAACAAUCACCAUACCAUAAUGUGAUGACAUACAGACGGACAGCGAAGCGUGAGUAUCUACCAAGGUUAGGUUGUUAGGCCUACAGCUGAUCUCUACAGGGUCCAGUAAACAUCAACCGUACCUCGUAGUCACCUUAUAACUUACAUACAGUUUUACACCAUUAAUCCAUAGAAGGCUUCUGAAUAACAGAAGAACAGCUAUUAUCAGGUCCAAACACGUUCACCACAGAAUCAUUUACAUUUGAUAAAGGGUUAUAACCAUUGCAUGUGUGCUUGUGCGUGUGAGUGAACUCACGCUGACUCUCCACCUCCAAGGCAGCAGCCAGGAGCAUCUCGUCUGAGGGCUCGUUAGCAGCUGUUUCACACAGAAAAGACAAAGAAACACCUACUGUCAGAUGGUGGGCACUGGGGCUGCUGGGAGGGAUGCUGGUUCUUCUCCUGGUCCCGGCCCAGUAUGUAGGUCUUUAAAGCAUGCAGGUUGCUGCCUGGGAUGCACUUCUUCUUCCUCAGCCACUGCACGUAGCUACAGAAACAACAACAUCACUAACAACUGUGUGCGCGGUUGUUCCAGACAGACUCAAUGUCACUAUUUCAUCUGCACUGGUGUUUGUUGUCUGUGCACAGGCUUACGUCUCAACCUCUUUCCCCGUGGCCUCGUACAUGGAGGCGUAGGUCAUGGCUCCGUGGGGGCCGAACUCCACCAACUUCUUGUCUUGGCUCCGGACAGACUUGGAACCCUCCGUGGCACGGCGUCCCUCCACGGCUGACAUCACCUCUGGGAACAGCUUGCUGUAGGAGCACCUUGUUGGCCAUAAGUGGUGAGCUGGAUGUGUCACCACUCUCCCGCUCCUUCUGGUGUGAGGCCAGCAGGGACACAGCGUAGCCCACGUCGUGACUCAGGAGCCACUUGAAGGUCUGUCCCCGGUACUGCCCAAAC